rnacentral:rRNA from 1 species
GACGAACGCUGGCGGCGCGCUUAACACAUGCAAGUCGAGCGAUGAAACUUUAACAGAACCCUUCGGGGCGAAGAUAAAGUGGAUUAGCGGCGGACGGGUGAGUAACACGUGAGUAACCUGCCUUAGACAGUGGGAUAGCCUCGGGAAACCGGGAUUAAUACCAAAUAAAAUCAUAAUGACACAUGUCAUAACGAUCAAAACUCCGGUGGUCUAAGAUGGACUCGCGUCCCAUUAGCUAGUUGGUAGAGUAAAAGCCUACCAAGGCGACGAUGGGUAGCCGGCCUGAGAGGGUGAACGGCCACAUUGGAACUGAGAAACGGUCCAAACUCCUACGGGAGGCAGCAGUGGGGAAUAUUGCACAAUGGAGGGAACUCUGAUGCAGCGACGCCGCGUGAACGAAGAAGGCUUUCGAGUCGUAAAGUUCUUUUAUAUGGGAAGAUAAUGACGGUACCAUAAGAAAAAGCCCCGGCUAACUACGUG